rnacentral:rRNA from 1 species
AAAUUGAAGAGUUUGAUCAUGGCUCAGAUUGAACGCUGGCGGCAGGCCUAACACAUGCAAGUCGAACGGUAACAGGAAGCAGCUUGCUGCUUCGCUGAUGAGUGGCGGACGGGUGAGUAAUGUCUGGGAAACUGCCUGAUGGAGGGGGAUAACUACUGGAAACGGUAGCUAAUACCGCAUAACGUCGCAAGACCAAAGAGGGGGACCUUCGGGCCUCUUGCCAUCGGAUGUGCCCAGAUGGGAUUAGCUAGUAGGUGGGGUAACGGCUCACC